AGUCGAGCGAAUUUUAGCAGUGUAUCGCUGAGGUUAGCGGCAGACGGGUGAGUAAUACUUGGGCAAUCUGCCCUUGAGAGGGAAAUAACCUGCCGAAAGGCGGGCUAAUGUCCCAUAAGACCACGGGAUGGCAUCAUCCAGAGGUCAAAGCUCCGCAAGGGGCGCUUGAGGAGGAGCCCAAGUCCUAUCAGCUAGUUGGUGAGGUAACGGCUCACCAAGGCUUUGACGGGUAGCCGGCCUGAAAGGGUGACCGGCCACACUGGCACUGAGACACGGGCCAGACUCCUACGGGAGGCAGCAGUGGGGAAUUUUGGACAAUGGGGGCAACCCUGAUCCAGCGACGCCGCGUGAAGGACGAAGGUCUUCGGAUUGUAAACUUCUUUUGGAGGGGAUGAAUGGCCUGGUGAAUAGCCAGGUAUGACAGUACCCUUCGAAUAAGCCACGGCUAACUACGUGCCAGCAGCCGCGGUAAUACGUAGGUGGCAAGCGAUACUCGGAAUCACUAGGCGUAAAGCGCAGGUAGGCGGUUUAGUAAGUCUCUUGUGAAAGCUCCUGGCUCAACUGGGAGAGGUCAAGGGAAACUGCUAGGCUUGAGUGUGGCAGAGGAAACUGGAAUUCCAGGUGUAGCGGUGAAAUGCGUAGAUAUCGGGAGGAACACCUAUGGCGAAAGCAGGUUUCUGGGCCAUCACUGACGCUGAUCUGCGAAAGCAUGGGGAGCAAACAGGAUUAGAUACCCUGGUAGUCC
rnacentral:rRNA from 1 species